UACGAAGGGGGGCUAGCGUUGCUCGGAAUUACUGGGCGUAAAGGGCGCGUAGGCGGCUUAGUUAGUCAGGCGUGAAAUUCCUGGGCUCAACCUGGGGACUGCGCUUGAUACGGCUAGGCUAGAGGAUGGAAGAGGGUCGCGGAAUUCCCAGUGUAGAGGUGAAAUUCGUAGAUAUUGGGAAGAACACCGGUGGCGAAGGCGGCGACCUGGUCCAUUACUGACGCUGAGGCGCGACAGCGUGGGGGAGCAAACAGG
rnacentral:rRNA from 1 species